rnacentral:rRNA from 1 species
AUUGAACGCUGGCGGCAGGCCUAACACAUGCAAGUCGAGCGGCAGCGGGAAAGUAGCUUGCUACUUUUGCCGGCGAGCGGCGGACGGGUGAGUAAUGCCUGGGAAAUUGCCCAGUCGAGGGGGAUAACAGUUGGAAACGACUGCUGAUACCGCAUACGCCCUACGGGGGAAAGCAGGGGACCUUCGGGCCUUGCGCGCUUGGAUAUGCCCAGGUGGGAUUAGCUAGUUGGUGAGGUAAUGGCUCACCAAGGCGACGAUCCCUAGCUGGUCUGAGAGGAUGAUCAGCCACACUGGAAUUGAGACACGGUCCAGACUCCGACGGGAGGCAGCAGUGGGGAAUAUUGCACAAUGGGGGAAACCCUGAUGCAGCCAUGCCGCGUGUGUGAAGAAGGCCUUCGGGUUGUAAAGCACUUUCAGCGAGGAGGAAAGGUUGUUGGCUAAUAUCCAACAGCUGUGACGUUACUCGCAGAAGAAGCACCGGCUAACUCCGUGCCAGCCGCCGCGGUAACAC